UUUUCUGGGCUUUUGGGGGGGGGGCUGAAAUUGGAAUGACACAGAGAAGAAUAGCAUUGAUAACUGUGCAAGGAUGACAUGGAAAAUCAUGAAGCAUUGUUUU